CUUCCCCUACGGGGCGCAGCAGUGGGGAAUAUUGCACAAUGGGGGGAACCCUGAUGCAGCGACGCCGCGUGGGCGAGGAAGUAUUUCGGUAUGUAAAGCCCUAUCGGCAGGGGAGAAGAAAUGACGGUACCUGAAUAUGAAGCACCGGCUAAAUACGUGCCAGCAGCCGCGGUAAUACGUAUGGUGCAAGCGUUAUCCGGAUUUACUGGGCGUAAAGGGAGCGCAGGCGGCGCGCCAAGGCUGAUGUUAAACCCCGGGGCUCAACCCCGGGCAUGCAUU
rnacentral:rRNA from 1 species